UCACACAAUCACUCUUAUCUUAUAAGUGAGAGAAAACACGAUUAGGUGUGCAACAAUAACGAUACGCGUACGAGAUGUACGCCGCGUUAACAUAACCGUUUACGCUGUCACUGAUGUCGCGUCGGUGAUACGGCGCCAAAAUUCCGAUUGCCAGGAUACACUCCCGAUACAGCACGGUGAUUGCGCGAACCAACUGACAAAAUAAGGAGAGAUAUGCGGUAAUUAGAACGAUGAUUUUUGAUAGCUGACUGGUCGUGUUACAACAUGUUUCCAUCUGGCGGUCAAAAGAGAAAGCAGAACACAGAACCAAUCUGAUCUCGUAUGUUUACGGAGUUAUCCCUAUGCUUGGACCUCAUAUUAACUAAAAAAUCUCACAUGUUUGAAAAGAGAUUCGAUCGUAUAAUGUUAUUACGCAAAGAAAGAGAUAAGGAUUUGUUAUUACUUUAUACAGUUAAAUAACAUUGUAGAGAGCUCUUAGAAGUCCCAUUAUAAUCAUAAUGUUAAAACUGAACGGUGUUGUUCUAGAGUAUCGUGUACAAUGCUAAUUAAUGAUUUUCUUUAGAAAUUCGGAGGAACAGUUUUUAAAAGAAUUUGCAACAGUAUGCUGUGUAUAACACUUUUGCAUUUGUUACAAUGCUUUUUUGCUCUUCGAAUGUAGUACAUGCUCCUAAUCAAUAUCUCGCAUUUUCUAGUAAACCAAGGUUCUGCUUUGUAAUUUAUGUAGAGACAUAUGAACAUGAACAGGAGAUUGAAUUGGUUGUGUAGGUUGAUGAGUUCUGCUUUAUUAAUAUGAGCUAACAGUUAUUAUUACAAGUGAUAAAUGACGCAGGUUAAAAGAUUGUGAUUUUUAUGAUCUAUUUUAUACUUUUAUCUGAAUAGAUAUUUCUUUUGUAAAAAAUACUUAAAGAAAUCUAUUAUUAUGGAAUAACUGAUUUCCUUAACAUUAAGACAUUUCCCUUUAUUUUACAGCUUAUAAAGUUAAAAUGUUUGGUUUUUGUUUGUAAAAGCUUGAAUUUAUCGUUUAAUUUGAUUAGUUACAUAGUGAUAAAUUGACACUGCGGUAACCGAUUUGUCCAUCAAUGGAAUCCUCUUCUAUUACGAACAGAGUUUCGAAGAUUGCAAAUAAAAAACUUAAAUGUGGUUUUGUAAAUUGACAAUUACUUAAGGAUUUUAAUACCAACUAUGAGUUUUGGAUGCACAUACAUAUGAGAGGAAUGGUGAUCAGAUUUAUGAAUAAAACAAACAACAAUGAUAAUAAAAAUAAAUAUUAUCCUGUAUUGAGA